CAGUCGCCACGGUAAUACGUAGGGUGCGAGCGUUAAUCGGAAUUACUGGGCGUAAAGCGUGCGCAGGCGGUUUUGUAAGACAGAGGUGAAAUCCCCGGGCUCAACCUGGGAACUGCCUUUGUGACUGCAAGGCUAGAGUACGGCAGAGGGGGAUGGAAUUCCGCGUGUAGCAGUGAAAUGCGUAGAUAUGCGGAGGAACACCGAUGGCGAAGGCAAUCCCCUGGGCCUGUACUGACGCUCAUGCACGAAAGCGUGGGGAGCAAACAGGAUUAGAUACCCGCGUAGUCCCUGUUUCUUAUAC
rnacentral:rRNA from 1 species